rnacentral:sRNA from 1 species
UCCGGGUUGGAAUAGUGCAGCUUUUGCCAUGUUUAUCAAGAGUUCAAGACGGGAUUAUACAACAAUCAGACUAGAGUUAAAAGAGAUAAUCAAUAAAGCACGCACAACUUUCACACUAUGUUAAUUUAGGGCAUGACUGGUUUAAACGCAGUGGGUGCGGUUGCGGUUGCGUUAUCAAGCGUUUUGAACGACUGGUUGAGCGUUUGAUAAUGGAUGCGUUUGCGAAAAUUUUAUGACUGGUAAACCAGCGGGUACGAUAGUAAUUAAAUAAAAAUAACCAAAAUAAAUAUAAUAUAUUACUAUUAAAAGAAAUAAAAAUACAAUAUAUUAUGAUAAACUGAUAAUAUUAGAAAAAUUGAUUUUUUGACCAAACAAAAAUACAAUAUAUCAUCUCGUCCGGCCAAAUGAUUUUCUAAUCGAGAAAACAAAUCGAAAAAUGUAUUCAAUCAAAAAACUCAAAACAAUACAAAAUAAAAUAAAAACAACGAUGCCAUGAAAUAGUAAAAGAAUUACACUAGCUAAUGAAUGAAUAAAAGGAUAGAUGAUACUUAUGUUUGAUUCUUGAUUUUGAUUUUCAUCGGAUGCCAUAAUUGAGAGAAUAGAGUUACAAUAUAUUGAUUAGGGUUUUCUAAUAAAAAUAAGAUAUAUAAAAGAUUAGAUUAUUUUAAUUAUAGUGAUUAGGGUUUGGGUGGAAGCCACAAUUAUUUUAAUUAAUUAAA